UGCCUUCCCCAUACCAACCUCCACCCGUGCUGUAGCUGGUGGCAAAGCCUCCCAUUGGGAGGCAGAGAGCUGGAAGGCAGCUGGAGACCCUGUAAUUGCCUCUACCCAGGCCGGCAGAACACACAGAGAAACUCCGAGCUCCCCGGGAAGGACUAGGCAGCUUACAAGAGCUACUGGAGUACAUGCUGGACAUGUACAAAGAACCUCAGCCUCACGGGUUCAUCUCUACACCGGAAACUGGCUAACCUGAUGCCUAGAAUGUUUGAUGAGACAUCCGACUAGUUCAGUGUGUAUCCAAGAGAGACUUGGAGCCAGGGCUGAGGAGAGAUGUCUAUGGGAAUGGAAUCACACCAGCCUGUAGUCCUGGAUUGCCAGCCUCACCUGAGUGUUGAACCAAGCCUCCACGUCUCUACGGUUAUUCUCCACCAGGGUCUCAUACUGGCAUCGCAUGUCAUCCAGUAUCUUGUUGAGAUCCACUGGGGGAGCAGCAUCCACCUCCACAUUCAAUCGGUCCCCAAGCUGGGAACGGAGUGCAUUGACUUCCUGCAGUGGCAAAGUAAGAUGACAUGAGGCUGUAGAAAAGCUUGCUGGCUUGGUAGGUUCAAUAACUUGGGUUCAAACUCAUUCCUCACUUGGGUACCGUGAGAUAGAAGAGCUGACCUCUUUGAACAUGGGUCCCCCACACGCACUCCACUGGUCUAUCUAUACUAACCCCUCCUGAGGAUUUGGGGGAUGACCCAGCACCAGGCAAAUAGAAUUAUUAUCAGACACCAUAAUCCAAAUAGAGUUGUAGCAUCAUGGGUGAGGUCUCUGUGUGACUGUAGGCAAAUGACUUCACAUCUUUAUGACCAUCUUCUCAGCUGUGAAAAGGAGCUUACGA